AAGCGCGCGGCCCGCCGACCGAACGCACGCGCGACCAUGCGCAGCGACGCCGUCCCGCGAGUGUACUCCACGCUUUAUCUCAACAUUGUGAAGUGAUACACAGUACACAUACGGAUUGCGAACGCUCAUCUUCUUAGGAUAUUUAGCACGAACAAAAUAAAACAUGGCGACGUCGGGAGGGAAGAGGCGCGAGGAGGGUAGCGACAACUCCGACGAUGAGCUUACACCGCUCGCCAAUGAAAUCUACGGUGGAAGCCAAAGGACAGUACAAGAAACGAAAGGAUGGGACGUGUUCCGGGAGUUCCCGCCGAAGCAGGACAGUGGGUCUAUGGAGACCCAGAAAUGUUUAGAAUUCACGGUGCGGUUGUUUAAGGUGAUGGCAUAUCUAGUCGUGUUCAUCGCCGUCCUCGGGUCCGGAGUCGUCGCAAAGGGCACCACGCUUUUUAUGACCUCACAGCUGAAGAAGGACAGGCGAAUUGCGUAUUGUAAUAGGAAUUUAGGUAGGGAUAAACAAUUUAUAGUAAGUCUGCCAGAUGAAGAGCGAGUGGCGUGGAUGUGGGCGAUCCUGGCAGCGUUUGCCAUCCCAGAAAUAGGAACACUCAUUCGUUCAGUAAGGAUAUGUUUCUUCAAAACUUCUAGAAGACCAACGAGUACGCAGUUUAUUGUGAUAUUCAUAGCGGAAUCGCUGCACACGAUAGGAAUGGGCCUUCUAUUCUUCUUGAUCCUGCCAGAACUGGACGUUGUGAAGGGAGCCAUGAUAACCAACUGUCUUUGCAUCAUUCCUGCGAUACUUGGCUUGCUUUCACGUAACUCGCGAGACUCCAAGCGGUUCAUGAAAGUCAUUGUGGAUAUGGCAGCGAUAGUUGCUCAAGUCACCGGGUUCAUAGUGUGGCCACUGUUGGAGAACAAGCCCGUUUUGUGGUUGAUACCAGUUUCAUCGUUAUGCAUAUCUCUGGGAUGGUGGGAGAACUACGUCACACGUCAAAGCCCCAUAGGUAUAAUCAAAAGUUUGGGCAGACUGAAGGACGAAUUGAUUUUCACCCGAUACUACACAUAUCGCUUCAUAUCUGUAUGGAAAAUCAUGUUGUUCCUCAUGUGCAUCCUCUUCAGUAUAUGGAUAGACGGAGACGAGCCUGCCAUGUUCUUCCAACUGUUCAAUACAGGUUUCGGACCCCACAGCAUCGUUGUAGAAGAGGUACAAAUCCAACUAGGCGGAACCGUCAUUCCUGAUCUGGCUAAUGUAACUCUAACCGGAGAUUCGGUAGAAGUGGCAGCUGCAUACAAAUCGGCAUUCUACGUGAUGCUCAUCCAAAUAUUUGCAGCGUACAUCUGUUACAUAUUUGGAAAGUUCGCGUGCAAGAUUCUCAUCCAAGGCUUCAGUUAUGCGUUCCCUAUCAAUCUCGUCAUUCCCUUGGUGGUCAAUUUGUUGAUUGCUGCAUGUGGUAUUAGAAAUGGCGACAAUUGUUACUUCCAUGGAACAGUUCCAGAUUAUCUUUACUUCGAAAGUCCACCCGUGUUUACACUCAGCGAUUUCAUAUCCCGUCAAAUGGCUUGGAUAUGGUUACUUUGGCUGCUGUCGCAAACGUGGAUAACUAUACACAUCUGGACACCUAAAGCCGAACGUUUGGCCUCAACGGAGAAGUUAUUCGUCAUGCCGAUGUACAAUGGUUUAUUGAUAGAUCAGAGCAUGGCUCUGAAUAGAAAGAGAAACGACCAGAGAGAUGUUAAGACUGAGGACCUCGCAGAAAUAGAAAAAGAAAAAGGCGACGAAUACUACGAAACUAUAUCUGUUCACACUGACAACACCGGUUCUUCUCCUAAAGCUAUCAAAUCGUCGGAUCAGAUCACCAGGAUUUAUGCAUGCGCUACUAUGUGGCACGAAACUAAAGACGAGAUGAUGGAGUUCUUGAAGUCCAUUCUUCGGUUGGAUGAGGAUCAGUGCGCUCGGCGAGUCGCUCAAAAGUACUUGCGAGUUGUUGACCCCGAUUACUACGAAUUCGAAACGCACAUUUUCUUGGAUGACGCAUUCGAAAUAUCAGAUCAUAGUGACGACGACUCCCAAGUGAAUCGAUUCGUGAAACUUCUUGUGGACACUAUCGACGAAGCGGCUUCUGAAGUGCAUCAGACGAACAUACGUAUACGCCCACCGAAGAGGUUACCAGCGCCUUAUGGUGGACGACUGACAUGGGUGCUGCCAGGAAAGACGAAGAUGAUCUGUCACUUGAAAGACAAGGCUAAGAUCCGUCACAGAAAGCGAUGGUCUCAGGUGAUGUACAUGUACUACCUUCUUGGUCACCGGCUAAUGGAGCUUCCGAUAUCCGUGGACCGUAAAGAAGUAAUGGCUGAGAACACCUACCUGCUGACCCUGGACGGAGACAUCGAUUUCCAACCUCACGCUGUACGACUGCUUAUCGAUUUGAUGAAGAAGAACAAGAAUCUGGGAGCUGCGUGCGGUCGUAUUCAUCCUGUCGGAUCAGGUCCCAUGGUGUGGUAUCAAAUGUUCGAGUAUGCUAUUGGUCAUUGGCUGCAAAAGGCGACGGAACACAUGAUCGGCUGCGUACUCUGUAGUCCUGGAUGCUUCUCUCUGUUCAGAGGAAAGGCUUUGAUGGACGACAACGUUAUGAAGAAAUACACUUUACGGUCUGAUGAAGCUCGGCAUUACGUGCAGUACGAUCAAGGGGAAGAUCGUUGGUUAUGUACGCUAUUACUGCAACGUGGCUAUCGUGUAGAAUACUCAGCUGCGUCCGAUGCCUACACUCACUGUCCCGAAGGUUUCAACGAGUUCUACAACCAACGUCGUCGCUGGGUGCCUUCCACCAUCGCCAACAUUAUGGACUUGCUCGCCGAUUGUAAACAUACUAUCAAGAUUAACGAUAACAUUUCGAGUCCCUACAUCGCAUACCAGAUGAUGUUGAUGGGUGGCACGAUCUUGGGUCCCGGUACUAUAUUCCUUAUGUUGGUGGGUGCCUUCGUGGCCGCUUUCCGAAUCGACAACUGGACUUCCUUCGAAUAUAAUCUUUAUCCCAUCUUGAUCUUCAUGUUUGUCUGCUUCACGAUGAAAUCCGAAAUUCAACUACUGGUGGCUCAGAUAUUGUCGACGGCAUAUGCUAUGAUAAUGAUGGCUGUGAUCGUCGGUACAGCUCUCCAGUUAGGCGAGGACGGCAUAGGAUCUCCGUCGGCUAUAUUCUUGAUAUCACUCUCAAGUUCGUUCUUCAUAGCCGCUUGCUUGCAUCCGCAGGAAUUCUGGUGCAUCGUACCGGGCAUCAUCUAUCUCUUGUCUAUACCCUCUAUGUACUUGCUUUUGAUUUUGUAUUCGAUUAUAAAUCUCAACGUAGUAUCAUGGGGUACUCGAGAAGUGCAAGUUAAAAAGACGAAGAAGGAAAUCGAAGCAGAGAAAAAAGAAGCUGAACUUGCGAAGAAAUCUGCAAAACAGAAAUCGCUGCUAGGUUUCCUUCAAGGAGUGAAUAGCAAUGAAGAAGAAGGCUCUAUCGAAUUCUCAUUUGCUGGGUUAUUCAAGUGUCUGUUAUGUACGCAUCCCAAAGGAAACGAGGAGAAAGUGCAACUGUUGCAUAUUGCCUCCACUCUUGAGAAAUUGGAAAAGAAAUUAGAUUCUGUUGAAAGGGCUGUUGAUCCGCAUGGCAUGAGCAGAGGACGUAAACUCUCUGUUGGGCCUAGAGGUAGCACAACUGGAGACCAUGGCUUAGAUGCUUUGGACGAAAGACCAGAAGAAGAAAACGAUUCAGAUUCCGAAACCGAUACUCUUUCUACUGUACCCAGAGAAAAGAGAGAUGAUCUCAUAAACCCAUAUUGGAUAGAGGAUCCCGAAUUGAAAAAGGGUGAAGUAGACUUUUUGAGUCCCGCCGAAUUAUCCUUCUGGAAAGAUCUCAUUGACAAAUAUUUGUACCCUAUCGAUGCUAACAAAGAAGAACAGGCCCGUAUAUCCAAGGAUCUGAAAGAAUUGAGAGAUUCGUCUGUUUUUUCUUUCUUUAUGGUCAAUGCCCUCUUUGUAUUGAUUGUAUUCUUGCUACAACUGAACAAGGACAACCUUCACUUUAAGUGGCCCUUCGGAGUUAAAACUAACAUUACAUACGAUGAGGUUACUCAAGAGGUAACGUGAGAGUCCACUACACAGCGAUCGGCAUUCAACGAUGACUCGGGACUGCGAGCUACAGUAGACAUUCAAAAGCUCGCAUUGCUGCAGACUUGCUCGAACUUCGCAAUAAGUCGGUUUUCGCAUUUGUUAUGUUCAAUGCUUUAUUCAUAUUGAUAGUAUUUUUAUUA
rnacentral:misc_RNA from 1 species